AAGUCGUAACAAGGUUUCCGUAGGUGAACCUGCGGAAGGAUCAUUAAAGAGUAAGGGUCUUCUAGGCCCGACCUCCAACCCUUUGUAUAUCUACCUCCGUUGCUUUGGCGGGCCCCUGGGGCAACCCACCGCCGGCCUUUGGCUGGUGAGCGCCUGUCAGAGUCCACUCACAACUCUGUGUACCGAUGAUGUCUGAGUAUCACACAAUAAUCAAAACUUUCAACAACGGAUCUCUUGGUUCUG
rnacentral:misc_RNA from 1 species